UCUUGCUGUGCAGUCGGCCAGGUGUGGACUACCACUUGAACCCCGUUUUUGUUAGCUUGUCUUUACUUACAUUUUGGCGACUUUGCACCAUUAUAAGUAUGCCGAAUUAGCUACUAGCAGUUUGUGUUUCCAGGAUACUCACGGAUUUACCGACAACUAUCGCUGUAUUACUUUGAUACCGAAGACAACUUAAAAAACGUGACGAUUCUCAAGCAAGUUCUGGAGUUAUAAGGAGUAUCUCUUCUCUGCGAUUCACCAGUGGAUUUCUGGACGUUUAUUCGCGUGGGCAUCGGAUAUCUUCGGAAAGUGACUCAAACUUCAACAGCAAAUCAUGGAGAGAAGAGACAGACACAAGGAAUUCCAGACGCCCCCGAGGACCUGCAGCACCAGCCGGAGCCUGCGGUCCAUGGCCUGGAGGUGAGGCUGGAUGAGGACGGGGGACAGUCGGUCACGCAGCAGAGACUCCUCCAUCAGAGAGCUCAGCUGAUACUCUUCUUUGGCCAGCAGCUGGAGACGCAGCAGGACAAAGAAACACCAUCCCUGCGAUGAAAAAACUGUUGGAAAUUCACAGAUAAUCCAAAAGUCUGACCUGCAGCACUGGCUGAGGGGCACCAGGAUGGACAGCUCAUCAUGGGAAUGUUUUCCAAACCUACAAGGCCAAGG